AUACAGGUGAAGGCGGUACCACCAACUAUGGCCUGCACAAGCACUGUACAAACAUGGCAUCGGACACAGGGGAUCUGUGCAGAGCCUAUUCAGGACUUGGUAAUGAAGAAACCAAAGCCAUCUGCCAGGAGCGAUCCCUCCCUGACCAAUCAGUCCUGUCCCUUGGGGAAGAACUAAAAAGCCUCAGACCCCAACUGCUAAUAUCCUCGGUGCUGCAUGGUUUGUCUGAGCUUUUACUGGUUGACUCCAGGUUUUGACCUGUGCUGUGAGUUUCACCACUGGCCAUGUCAAACACCCAGAUGCCCCAGCAUUCCCCAGACUUCCUGUGGAUGGUGCCCAAUUUUCCACUGCUGUACACUUUGUCCCAAACUUCCACCAGUUCUUCCAUUUGAAGAGUCUACAUGUCACACAGGAGAUUGCAGCUAUGGUAGAGGAGGGCACACAAGAGGAGUCUCAGUAUACAUUAUGGAAAGAGUAACAGCCAUUAGGUUCUAUGAGGUUUGCCGUGUGCAAGGGAGUAAAACAAACUAGCGCAAUGAAAAGGGGCCUUGAGCGUGAACCAUAGAUGCUAGAACAAUACUCAAAACUGUUCAAUGUAAAUGUCUCACCCUGUGGCUUUGUCAUCCAUCCCGAUGCUCCUCACCUUGGUGCCAGACCAGAUGCAAAGGUUUAUGACCCUAAUGUAGCUCUUAGUUCUGGGCUUGCAGAAUUUAAAUGCACAGACAUCUGUAACAUUUCUGAGGCAGGGCAUGUCAAAUGUGUGAAAGGCCAGGUAAAACUGAAAAGAAAUAUAGUACAAUGCAAAUUCCACCUGGAAUUUUAAAAUAGUAAUAAUGUAAUGGUAGUGGUAAUAUUAAUAUUAAUAAAGUGAUAAUAAUAGGAAUAA